rnacentral:rRNA from 4 species
GGUGCUUGCAUCAUGAUUUACAUUUGAGUGAGUGGCGAACUGGUGAGUAACACGUGGGAAACCUGCCCAGAAGCGGGGGAUAACACCUGGAAACAGAUGCUAAUACCGCAUAACAACUUGGACCGCAUGGUCCGAGUUUGAAAGAUGGCUUCGGCUAUCACUUUUGGAUGGUCCCGCGGCGUAUUAGCUAGAUGGUGGGGUAACGGCUCACCAUGGCAAUGAUACGUAGCCGACCUGAGAGGGUAAUCGGCCACAUUGGGACUGAGACACGGCCCAAACUCCUACGGGAGGCAGCAGUAGGGAAUCUUCCACAAUGGACGAAAGUCUGAUGGAGCAACGCCGCGUGAGUGAAGAAGGGUUUCGGCUCGUAAAACUCUGUUGUUAAAGAAGAACAUAUCUGAGAGUAACUGUUCAGGUAUUGACGGUAUUUAACCAGAAAGCCACGGCUAACUACGUGCCAGCAGCCGCGGUAAUACGUAGGUGGCAAGCGUUGUCCGGAUUUAUUGGGCGUAAAGCGAGCGCAGGCGGUUUUUUAAGUCUGAUGUGAAAGCCUUCGGCUCAACCGAAGAAGUGCAUCGGAAACUGGGAAACUUGAGUGCAGAAGAGGACAGUGGAACUCCAUGUGUAGCGGUGAAAUGCGUAGAUAUAUGGAAGAACACCAGUGGCGAAGGCGGCUGUCUGGUCUGUAACUGACGCUGAGGCUCGAAAGUAUGGGUAGCAAACAGGAUUAGAUACCCUGGUAGUCCAUACCGUAAACGAUGAAUGCUAAGUGUUGGAGGGUUUCCGCCCUUCAGUGCUGCAGCUAACGCAUUAAGCAUUCCGCCUGGGGAGUACGGCCGCAAGGCUGAAACUCAAAGGAAUUGACGGGGGCCCGCACAAGCGGUGGAGCAUGUGGUUUAAUUCGAAGCUACGCGAAGAACCUUACCAGGUCUUGACAUACUAUGCAAAUCUAAGAGAUUAGACGUUCCCUUCGGGGACAUGGAUACAGGUGGUGCAUGGUUGUCGUCAGCUCGUGUCGUGAGAUGUUGGGUUAAGUCCCGCAACGAGCGCAACCCUUAUUAUCAGUUGCCAGCAUUAAGUUGGGCACUCUGGUGAGACUGCCGGUGACAAACCGGAGGAAGGUGGGGAUGACGUCAAAUCAUCAUGCCCCUUAUGACCUGGGCUACACACGUGCUACAAUGGAUGGUACAACGAGUUGCGAACUCGCGAGAGUAAGCUAAUCUCUUAAAGCCAUUCUCAGUUCGGAUUGUAGGCUGCAACUCGCCUACAUGAAGUCGGAAUCGCUAGUAAUCGCGGAUCAGCAUGCCGCGGUGAAUACGUUCCCGGGCCUUGUACACACCGCCCGUCACACCAUGAGAGUUUGUAACACCCAAAGUCGG